GAACGUCGUGAGACAGUUCGGUUCCUAUCUGCGUGGGGCGUAGGAGAAUUGGUUGGGGCUGCUCCUAGUACGAGAGGACCGGAGUGGACGCACCACUGGUGUUCCGGUUGUGUCGCCAGACGCAUUGCCGGGUAGCUAAGUGCGGAAGAGAUAAGUGCUGAAAGCAUCUAAGCACGAAACUUGCCAAGAGAUGAGUUCUCCCAAUCUAAGAGAUAGUAAGGGUUGUUGUAGACUACGACGUAGAUAGGUCUGGUGUGUAAGUGUAGUGAUACAUUGAGCUAACAGAUACUAAUUGCCCGAGAGGCUUAACU
rnacentral:rRNA from 1 species